rnacentral:lncRNA from 10 species
UGUGAAUUUAGCACUAUUGGACUGCUAUCUCUGACCUCAAGUUCAAAAGACAUUUUGGCAACAGGAUAUUCCAUGUUAUUACCUUCAGUACCCACAAAGAAGAGUCAAAUGAGCUGUGAGAUCAAAUUGGAGUGACUCUGGAUAUCUACAUGAAAACACUAAAAACUGAAAAUUAUGCUAUGCAAGAUAAAUUAUCCACACAGAUUAUUCAUGGUGUGGCAGUAUUCUUUCUUCAGAGAAGUUCGACAAAUCUCCUGAAAGCUGUUCUAUAUUGUCUUACAGUGAAAACGUAUAGAAUUCAUCCAUGUCCAUACUUUCACCUCUGGGAGAAGAGAUGCCUGACUUCUUAUUCAAUUAUUUGUUCAACAAAUUUUAACCAAGCAUCUCUUAGACACUUGGGUAUGCAAUAGUGAAUGAGACUGGAUCAGUUAGAUGAAGGCCCUGUUCUCAUGAAGUUUACAUUCCAUGUAAGUCUUAGCUCAUGUCUUAGAUUGUAUUCCCAGGAAAACACACUCUGAGAUGAGGAUUUGUGUACAGGAAGAUUUAUUAAUGAUCAAUGCAUGGGAGGGAGGGAGGGACGGAGCAAGGGAAGCAAGUUUGGGCAGAGGAAAAGAUUAAGCUGCGAUUUAACGGCAAUGAGGGCCUCAGCAAGCCCCAGAGGCAGCACUGGAGCCAGGAUAGGCCUCCACACGGACCUGAUAUUCAAUGUAGACUGCAGCUUCCAUCAGCCAAGGGCUAUUUCAAGUGGAGUGGGUUUAUAAGGUAUGAUCUGUGAGCAGGAAUGCUCCCACAGCUCAGGGAAUGAGUGUCUAGGUCAUGAAGGGCUAUCUGUGUGGGGCAUAAUAGUAUGAUAAGUAAACAUAUGCUGUGCCAGAUGGUGACUGAUGCCAUGGAGAAACAUACUGAGCAGAGACCUGAGAUAACUGAAGGAGUGACGCACGCAGAGGGAGAUGGGAAGGAUCCGUGAAGGCCUUGAGGCAGAAUGUGGUUCCUUUGUGUGUUUGAAGAACAGCACGGGAUCACCAAGACUUCAGUGUUAAUAGCACGUGAUCUUUUGGAAAAUUCAAUCUGGGAUAAUAAACUUUAAUUGUGCCAACCUCGUUAGGUGGAAUCAAGAUACUACUGGACUGACUCUUGAAGAGAACUGGACCACCAAUUACUUGAGUUCAUUUUUGAUCAGAGUCUACACCUGUCUCAGCUCCUUAAAAUUACGCCAGGAAUACAAGGCCAGUGAAUGUGCACAGAACAAGAUAGAUGGAAUUAGUCUAAUUGAGCCACCAUUUGUCAAUUUUUCAUUAGUUUAUUUAAUUAGAACUUGGCGAAUGAGACGAAAGCAAUCUUCUAUGUGAGUCAAUUAACUUCACACAGCUCCAUAGUCACUGAGCAAAUUUAUAAUCUCAACUAACAUUUCAAUUACAUUCACCUCAAAAAAACUUACUAAUGACUGAUCAUGUACAAAGCACAGUGCUAUGCAACAGGUUUACUAAGAUGAUCAAUAUAUGGUUUAUGUCUCCAAGAACAUUACAAGAGAAUUAGAGGAGGUGAUGUUUUAGAAAGAAUAGAGCACGAGGCUGACUUUGAUAAAUAUUAUGGAAACACAGUGGCUAAUCGUUGAUUAUUAAAUAUUAUGGAUGCACAGUGGCUAAUCAUUGACUAUUAUGCCUUUGAUCAUGAAGAAGAUAAGGCAAGUGAAUUUAAGGCAAUCCAUCAGCAAUACUAAAGUAAACUUUAAAGAGCAUACCUUUAACUAACAUUAACAGCAGGUAGAAAAUACAAUUUUUUUACUUUUUAAAAGUUAUAUUAUUAAAAUAUAAUUUAAUUACUUUGUAUUUUUUGCACAGAUAUCAAGUGUUAUGGGUUAAAUUUUGCCUCCCCACUAAAAUUUAAAUGUUGAAGUCCUAACCCCUAGUGCCUCAGAAUCUGUCCUUUUCUAGACAUAGGAUCUUUACCAAGUUAAAAUGAGGUCAUUGGAAUGGGACCUAAACCAAUAUGACUGGUGUCCUUAUGUAAAGGGCAAAUUUGGAGACAGACUCUCAUACAGGAAGAACACCAGAUGAACAUCAACACCACUAUCUACAAGCCAAAGAGAGAAGCCCAGAACAGAUCCUUCUCUCAUAGCUCUCAGAAGGAACUAAUCCUGGCAACACCUUGAUUUUGAGCUUCUGGCCUUCAGAGCUGUGAGAUCACAUUUUUCUGCUGUUUAAGCCACCCAAUUUGUGAUUCUCUGUUCCUGAAGCUCUAGCAAACAAAUACACUGUUUAAAUAUGCUCCCAGCUACUAUCUAAAGGCAAGAAGGACUAUUAGCUAAUGCAGUGAUUAAUCCAGGCUUAUAUAUCUAUCUAGCUCACAUGGAAAUGAGAGACUCAAAAAGGUUAAUUUUAAAGAUGACUAAAGUUUAUCUCUUCAAGUACUGUCCUUUUCUUAACUAAGGAUAUUAAUAUUAAAUGUAUAUGAGCUUUUUUGCCCUCUUAAAGAGUGUACUUAGCAUAAUCAGCCUUGGGAUUAUCAGGAUGACUCAAAGUAUUUUGCCAACUUGUAAUAUAUAUAAACGACUAAAAGGCCACCAGGGCAAGAAUGAUUGUGUGCUCUGGCUACGGCCCCAGAGAGCUCUGCUUCCUGAGUUGUUGGGAUGACUUUUUGUUAUUGAUAUUUUUAUUCUUUUUUUUUUUUUAACUCUUUUCAGGACUCUACUUGUCCAUUCUCCUUAUUGUCUGUAUGUCUGCUUCCAACAGUUCCUUACUCCUUAUAAUUGGAUGCAGUUAAUUGUCUACUGGUUGAGAAAUCAGAUAAUAGAGUCUGUAAGAGUUUUAUAUAAAAUAAGAAAAAAAAUGAAUGUGUGUACGUGUCUGAGGAAUUCCCUCACAAAACAUAUUUUAUGGUAUUUUUUAAUAUCUAUUUUUAAAGCUCAGGAGAUGUCUGUUUGCUUGUUUGCUUUUCCGGGUUUAUAGAUGUGUUCUGAGUGUUGCAUUUGCUGGAAGUCUGUCUUCUGACUAAGCGGGAUAUUGCUUUAUUUUAGUACUGAAACAUAAGAUCAGCCAGUGUCCUGUUCCCACAAGUAUGCUAAUCAUCAGACUGCAUGUCUCAGUACACUGAAGGUUUGGGAUGAUCUUGUUCAUAGAAUACAACUCUGACUUAUAAUCACUCAACUUUGGGACAAAUUGUGAGGAAAAGAACAGUAGCCAAAUUUGAAGAUAGCUAUCCUUUAUUCUCUAAUCAGAUCAUCUGAAAGACUUAUUGAUGUACAUUCUCUCAUGAAGAACUUGUGUGCUGUGGUACAAAUUCUUUAAAACCUUAUCCCAAGACAAUGGUGGGCAGAACCCUGAUUUUCUGAUAUUUGUCUUGAUCCAGCUCGAGUUCCACCCAUGCACCUGCUGACCCUUCCCUGUUUGCUCUGCUGAUCUUCCUUUUGUCUCCCUAGCUUCCUGUCCCUUCUAUGAUCUCCCCCUAGGCAGUCAGCCUUGCCCACAACUUCAGUUACCACCUAGGAGCAAACGAAUCACAAGGUCAUACAUCUAGCUUAGACCUCUAUUUUGAGCUCCGGGUCUGUAUUUGCAACUCUCUAGUUGACACUCCUUCUUAAUGUUCCCAAAAGUCUUUCAAAUUCAAUGUGUCCAACAUGAGACCUCCUCUGAGAGCUUUGUUCUCUUCCAGGAUUCUCAGUGAAUGGUAUGACCACUUCAGGUUGCAGGGUGUUAUCCUCAAAUCUCUCUUCCUCCAACCAUAACAAAUCUACACCAGAUUUCAUAAAAUUCAACUCAUAAAAUACUUUGGAAGUCACCCCUUUAUUCCUACCAUUAUGCCAGCAAAGUUAAUCGAACUUUCCUACCAUUAUGCCAUUAUCUGUUAAUCGAACUUACACUAUGGCCAUGUGGAUCUAUAUUUUUUUUAACUUUAAGUUCCAGGAUACAAGUGCAGAACGUGCAGGUUUGUUACAUAGGUAUAUGUGUGCCAUGGUGGUUUGCUGCAACUAUCAACCAGUCAUCAUGGUUUUAAGCCCCGCAUACGUUAGCUCUGUGUCCUAAUGCUCUCCCUCUUCUCACCCCCACCCCCAACAGGCCCCGGUAUGUGUUGUUCCCCACCCUGUGUCCAUGUAUUUUCGUUGUUCGACUCCCACUUAUGAGAGAACAUGCAGUGUUUGGUUUUCGGUUCAUGUGUUAAUUUGCUGAGGAUGAUGGCUUCCAGCUUCAUCCAUGUCCCUGCAAAGAACAUGAUCUCACUCCUUUUUAUAACUGCAUAGUAUUCCAUGCUGUAUAUGUACCACAUUUUCUUUAUCGAAUCUACAUGUUGAUCUAUUUAUAUUUGCUCUUGCCUUCCUCCAACCCAAUUUCCCUGCUGUAGUCAGAACAUUUUUUUGAAACUCAUUUGAUUAUAGUUAUUCAUUCCCAUGCCCGUGUAAACCCUCCUAUAGGUUCCCACCAAUUUCAAUAAAAAGAUAGUAUUUCUAAACAUGGCUAGAGAACUUUGCAUGGCCUCCCUCUUCCAUACCUGCCUGACCCAUUCCUUUUCAUGAAAAAUAUCCCACAAAUCUUCUUCCUUCGUCUUUCUGGGUCCUUCAUAGUUUUUUUCUACUUUCCAUCCUCCUACUGCCACAGAACACUUGACCUGCUGUUCCCUUUUUGUAGCAAACAUUUCUUUCCAGUCUUCACCUGAUUAAUUCCUUCUCAUCUUUGAGAUGUUAAUUUAGGCUUCACUUCCCCAGGCAAGCCUUCUCUUACAGAGGAGACUCAAAUCUCCCUACUGUAUACUCAAAACAAUGUGACUUCCUUCCAUUAUAUUUUUGUAGUUGUAAUUUUCCUUUGAAUUUGUGUGAUUAUUGGCUGAAUAUUUGUCUCCUCCACUAUACUGUACGUUCUAUCUUUGUUUACUAUUUUAUCCGAAGUGUUUUGUUUAGAAUCAAGGAUAUUAUAGUUGCUAAAGGAAUAAAUGAAAAUACUGAGAUUGCAGUGAUUCACAGACUACCUGGGCUCCUAAGCAUUGUCCCCAGGGUUACAAUGAAAAUUAUAAGAAUAAUUUUGGUUAGGGUGUAAAGAGAGUGGCAAAAACGUGAAUAGAAUAAUUUUAUAGGUAAGAAAUAAGUUAGAUCCUUAGCUGGAAGUCUAGAGUUGGGUUUAUAAAAAUUUUAAUACUGGUUGCAAUGUCUGCCAUGUUUUUCAAAAGCAAUAUUAACAUAUAAAGAAAUGGAUAUGAUUAGACAAUAAAUAGGGCAAGGAAAGCACCAGGCAUUUUUUAGAGCUAGGAUCCAUGUCUGCAUUUGGUUCAGGGUGGUGCAUCACCUUCUUGGGAUCUGUAUUAAACCUAUCUGUAAUUUUUUACACUAUCGCUUUUCUUCUGCCUGAAAUAUUUUCCCCCAGGAAUUUAGCAUCACUCACUUAUUACCAUCACUCAGGUCUCUGCUACAAUUUCAGAUCCUAGUAUCAUACCUCCCUUGAUUAUAAGUCAGAAUAGAAUACAUUAUUCUGUGAUAGGAAAAGCAAAUACCUGUGUCAGAAAACAACAAAGUUUUAUUCACAUUUCCACUAUGUUGUUUCCAUGGUGGUUGCAGGAAUAAUUCAGGGAUUCAAGCUACCAUCUUAAAUAUUGCUGUUGCUGUACGGAAGAGAAAAGAGAGCUUGAGAAGCUCUCAUGCUGGUAAUUAGAUGCUCAACUUGGAGUCACAUCAACGUGCCACUCACAUCUCACAAGGAAAACUAUUCACAUGGCCCUAUCUCACCACAACUGCAAUCUGCAAUCUUACCUUGUACCUGCAAAGAGGGAGAACUAUGAAUAUUUGGAAAAAAAGCAUAAUAUGUAACAACUUAGAAUAGUUUCUUUAUUUACUUUUACAUUUUAUAGUAAAUAUUAUUUUUUGACAUUAUUACAUCAUAUUACAUUAUAUAUUUUUGAUGUUAUUCACCUUCUGCCUCUGCCCACAAGAGGCCUAUGUAAGCAAGACUUUGUCUUAGUCAGCCUUUAUCUCUAGCAUGUAGAAUCAUACAUGGUAUCUGUAAAGCAGUAAAUCAAUAUUGUUUACUAAGUGAAUGAGUGAAUAAAUCGUGAUGGCCUAUUUUGGCUCAUACCUUCAUCUAUCCAACCCUUCUAGUAGUGAGCUCAGUUUGCUUUAUUCUAAGUCAAGAUCCUUACUCAACAGUAAAGAUAGAUUAUAAGCAAAGGCAGGGACUGAGACCAGCACAUGCGGAGACACAGAAAAGGCAACUCCAACUUGGAAAUUUCACAGAACCUGCAUGUGAAGUGCAGCAUUGGGUCAAAAAUCAUCUAACAUUUUGGCUCCAGCUGGGUUUGGCAAAGCUCAGAUGAAGGGACUUGAUUUUGCGGCAAGAACUACUUUAAAGUGGAGGCAACUUCAUAUUUUUUUCUCAGGUUACAAUCAGCAUAAUCACUCCCCACAUCUCGGUGAUCUUGGCAGAAGUUUAGUCCACAGAAUAAGUGACCAUCUAGGUCUAUUCUGAUAAUCUAUGAAAGAAUGUGUCCUGUCCACUCUCCAAGGUACUGACUCAAAACUAGAAAUAAUGGCUGAACUGUCCCAAGUGCUGAAUUUUUAGUAUCAAUAAACUGCUUCCUCAAAACUUUUGCAUUCCUCCUGCCCCAUCCUAGGAUGGUUAGUGUAACAACUAUACUUGACUGAGACAUUUGGGAAAAUACUUGGCACAAUUAUAUUAUCACUAACAUAAGGUACCCACGUGGAAAUUUGGAUAAAUAGCAUACAGUACCUAAAUUAUUUUCUAUGAUCAUGGGAGAAACUUCGUAUAUUUGUUUCCUAUGGC